UUGUGCCAAGCAGGCCGCGGUAAUUCCAGCUCCAAUAGCGUAUAUUAAAGUUGUUGCGGUAAAAAAGCUCGUAGUUGGAUUUCUGUUGAGGACGACCGGUCCGUACCAUGUACGCGCAUCUGGUUCGGCCUCGGCAUCCUCUCGAUAGACGUUUCUGCGCUUGAUUGCGUGGAGCGGAUUUCGGGACUUUUACUUUGAGGAAAUUAGAGUGUUCACGGCAGGCUAUCGCCAGAAUACAUUAGCAUGGAAUAAUAUUAUAGGAUCUCGGUUCUAUUUUGUUGGUUUCUAGACCCGGGGUAAUGAUUAAUAGGGACAAUUGGGGGCAUUUGUAUCAACACGUCAGAGGUGGAAUUCUUGGAUUGUGUUGCGACAAACUACUGCGAAAGCAUUUGCCAAGGAUGUUUUCAUUGAUCAAGAACGAAAGUAAGGGGAUCGAAGACGAUUAGAUACCGUCGUAGUCUUUACCAUAAACUAUGCCGACUAGAGAUGGGGCAUCGUUCACUUACGACUUGCUCCGCAUCUUAUGAGAUAUCAAAGUCUUUGGGUUCCGGGGGGAGUAUGGUCGCAAGUCUGAAACUUAAAGGAAUUGACGGAAGGGCACCACCAGGAGUGGAGCCUGCGGCUUAAUUUGACUCAACACGGGGAAACUCACCAGGUCCAGACAUAAUAAGGAUUGACAGAUUGAUAGCUCUUUCUUGAUUUUAUGGGUGGUGGUGCAUGGCCGUUCUUAGUUCGUGGAGUGAUUUGUCUGCUUAAUUGCGUUAACGAACGAGACCUUAACCUGCUAAAUAGGAGCGCAUAUCUUCGGAUAAGCGCCUUUCUUCUUAGAGGGACUGCAUGCGUUUCAGUAUGCGGAAGUUUGAGGCUAAAAC
rnacentral:rRNA from 1 species